rnacentral:rRNA from 1 species
AUUGAACGCUGGCGGAAUGCUUUACACAUGCAAGUCGAACGGUAGAGGGGGCAACCCCUCGAGAGUGGCGAACGGGUGAGUAAUAUAUCGGAGCGUGCCCAGUCGUGGGGGAUAACGUAGCGAAAGUUACGCUACUACCGCAUACGAUCUAAGGAUGAAAGCGGGGGAUCGCAAGACCUCGAGCGAUUGGAGUGGCGGAUAUCAGAUUAGGUAGUUGGUGGGGUAAAGGCUAACCAAGCCAACGAUCUGUAGCUGGUCUGGGAGGACGACCAGCCACACUGGAACUGAGACACGGUCCAGACUCCUACGGGAGGCAGCAGUGGGGAAUUUUGGACAAUGAACGCAAGUCUGAUCCAGCCAUUCCGCGUGCAGGAUGAAGGCCCUCGGGUUGUAAACUGCUUUUGUACGGAACGAAAAGGUCUCUCUUAAUACGGGGGACUCAUGACGGUACCGUAAGAAUAAGCACCGGCUAACUACGUGCCAGCAGCCGCCGUAAAAC